UACGUAGGUGGCAAGCGUUGUCCGGAUUUAUUGGGCGUAAAGCGAGCGCAGGCGGUUUCUUAAGUCUGAUGUGAAAGCCCACGGCUUAACCGUGGAGGGUCAUUGGAAACUGGGAAACUUGAGUGCAGAAGAGGAGAGUGGAAUUCCAUGUGUAGCGGUGAAAUGCGUAGAUAUAUGGAGGAACACCAGUGGCGAAGGCGACUCUCUGGUCUGUAACUGACGCUGAGGCUCGAAAGCGUGGGUAGCAAACAGGAUUAGAUACCCCUG
rnacentral:rRNA from 1 species